UAUUCAAGAGAUAUAUCACAGCUUUCCUAAACACAGCCCAGGAUCAUGGUGUUGGACACAUGCAGCUGAUUGUGGACAUGGAAAAAAACUUCCUUUAACCAAGAUUAAUAUCAUCAGCAGACUUUGUGACCUCAGAGCUCACACUCUUCAGCUCAUUUAUGAGUAUGUUGUCUGGAGAACAAAUGUACACUGCACAGAGAAGAGCUCUCAGUGGAAGGUACGGUGAACCUUCAACACCCUGAUUUUGGUACAAAAGUGUCCAAGUCUUGUAGGAGUGACUGUCAAAUGCCAGUGGUUGGAGGACUGCACAAAUUGUCAUUUGCACGUUCCCUAAGGGGAUGGGAGCACUAGGCUGCAGUGACAGUGGCAAGAGAAAGGUUUUCCACUCAGACACAUCAGAGGAGAUUGCUGCUGAAAAUUCAUAGCAAGAUACGAAGGAACUGGUUUUCUUCUAUAUUAUCUAGAGCAGAGCUCAUUUUGCAACAGAUGACACAUGAAGAAAGAGCUGGACCAUGCAAGAAAAUAAAAUAUAAACAACAUAGGAUUUUUCUUUUUUCUAGGAAUAGCUUCUUUCCUUUAAUCAAAAAGAAGUCAUACAUAUUACGAGUUUUGAAAUCAUAUAUAUUAUGAGCCUUAUAAUGAUGAUGAAAACACAAUGA